rnacentral:rRNA from 1 species
CUUAAUUUGACUCAACACGGGAAAUCUUACCGGGUCCGGACGUAUCGAGGAUUGACAGAUAGUUAUACAUGCCCUACAAGCAAGUAGGAGUCAGGUUUUAAACCUAAUGGCUCUUUCAUGAUUAUAUGAUAGGUGGUGCAUGGCCGUUCUUAGUUCGUGGAGUGAUCUGUCUGCUUAAUUGCGUUUCAAAUUUUUAACCGAGGACCGGGUUUUGGUUUGGCUAGUGGUCCUACGAUGACUGUGAACUGUCAUGUCUUCGGAUGUACGACUAUCGGUCUAGGAUCACAUGACUUGCCCCUGGGACUCUUUUGAACGCAACGGACGUGAUUGCAACCCCUUGUUGAGAUUAGAGAUAGUCUCGAUAUUCACUGGCCAAACUGGCUGCUUUAUGCAGUCUUGUUGAAUGGUGGAUAAACUCGGGGGACUGCUGACUAUAACCAUUUCUCAAAACAGAGGAAGGUUGCGGCAAUAACAGGUCU